GACGAACGCUGGCGGCGUGCUUAACACAUGCAAGUCGAACGAAGAGCGAUGGAAGCUUGCUUCUAUCAAUCUUAGUGGCGAACGGGUGUGUAACGCGUAAUCAACCUGCCCUUCAGAGGGGGACAACAGUUGGAAACGACUGCUAAUACCGCAUACGAUCCAAUCUCGGCAUCGGGACUGGAUGAAAGGUGGCCUCUAUUUAUAAGCUAUCACUGAAGGAGGGGAUUGCGUCUGAUUAGCUAGUUGGAGGGGUAACGGCCCACCAAGGCGAUGAUCAGUAGCCGGUCUGAGAGGAUGAACGGCCACAUUGGGACUGAGACACGGCCCAGACUCCUACGGGAGGCAGCAGUGGGGAAUCUUCCGCAAUGGACGAAAGUCUGACGGAGCAACGCCGCGUGAGUGAUGACGGCCUUCGGGUUGUAAAGCUCUGUUAAUCGGGAUGAAUGGUUCUUGUGCGAAUAGUGCGAGGAUUUGACGGUACCGGAAGAGAAAGCCACGGCUAACUACGUG
rnacentral:rRNA from 1 species